rnacentral:rRNA from 1 species
GGAAGGAUCAUUAAUGAGUUUGAACGAAGCUGUUCUGGUCUUUCGGGGCAAGUGAACGCUUCACUCAAUCCAUCUCACACCUGUGCACUUUUCAGGGGGGAAAAACUUUAGAGUACUCAAAGUUGGAUAACGACGAUGAAAGCUCAUGUUUUCUCCUCUUAUUAAAAAUUACAAGUCAUUAGAAAGUCAUUUGUUAAUACAAAUAAUACAACUUUCAGCAACGGAUCUCUUGGCUCUCGCAUCGAUGAAGAACGCAGCGAAAUGCGAUAAGUAAUGUGAAUUGCAGAAUUCAGUGAAUCAUCGAAUCUUUGAACGCACCUUGCACUCCUUGGUAUUCCGAGGAGUAUGCCUGUUUGAGUGUCAUGAAAUUAUCAACUUCAUGGUUUUAUUACUAUGAGGGUUGGACUUGGAAGCUUGCUGGCGAGAGUCAGCUCUUCUUAAAUGCAUUAGCUACUUGUCCGUGAGUUGGCUCAGAGUGUGAUAAGUAUCUACACUUGGUGGCUGCUUGCAUUGGGACGUGGCUUCUAAUAGUCUUCAGACAAUUUAUUAAGAUCUGACCUCAAAUCAGGUAGGACUACCCGCUGAACUUAAGCAUAUCAAUAAGCGGAGGAAAAGAAACUAACAAGGAUUCCCCUAGUAACGGCGAGUGAAGCGGGAAAAGCUCAAAUUUAAAAUCUAACUGUCUUAGGCAGUUCGAGUUGUAAUUUGGAG